rfam:Xenopus laevis strain J chromosome 3L, whole genome shotgun sequence.
AUCUCUUGGCUUUUUGGCUAAGAUCAAGUGUAGUAUCUGUUCUUCUGAGUGGCUAGGAUAUCUCUUUUAGGUAGUUGUGGAAAUCCCUAUCCUUUGGUGAGGCAGAGAUGCACUUUAUCAUCUGGCCAAGGGGCUUGCAGUUUUGGAGCUCAAGUAUUUUUUUCACUUCUGGGGCUGGUGCAAUAACC